UACGAAGGGGGCUAGCGUUGUUCGGAAUUACUGGGCGUAAAGCGCACGUAGGCGGAUAUUUAAGUCGGGGGUGAAAUCCCGGGGCUCAACCCCGGAACUGCCUUCGAUACUGGGUAUCUUGAGUUCGGAAGAGGUGAGUGGAAUUGCGAGUGUAGAGGUGAAAUUCGUAGAUAUUCGGAAGAACACCAACGGCGAAGGCAGCUCGCUGGGACGGUACUGACGCUGAGACGCGAAAGCGUGGGGAGCGAACAGG
rnacentral:rRNA from 1 species